rnacentral:rRNA from 1 species
AUGAACGCUGGCGGCGUGCCUAAUACAUGCAAGUCGAGCGAACAGACGAGGAGCUUGCUCCUCUGACGUUAGCGGCGGACGGGUGAGUAACACGUGGAUAACCUACCUAUAAGACUGGGAUAACUUCGGGAAACCGGAGCUAAUACCGGAUAAUAUAUUUAACCGCAUGGUUCAAUAGUGAAAGACGGUUUUGCUGUCACUUAUAGAUGGAUCCGCGCCGCAUUAGCUAGUUGGUAAGGUAACGGCUUACCAAGGCAACGAUGCGUAGCCGACCUGAGAGGGUGAUCGGCCACACUGGAACUGAGACACGGUCCAGACUCCUACGGGAGGCAGCAGUGGGGAAUCUUCCGCAAUGGGCGCAAGCCUGACGGAGCAACGCCGCGUGAGUGAUGAAGGUCUUCGGAUCGUAAAACUCUGUUAUUAGGGAAGAACAAAUGUGUAAGUAACUAUGCACGUCUUGACGGUACCUAAUCAGAAAGCCACGGCUAACUACGUG